rnacentral:rRNA from 1 species
UACGUAGGGGGCUAGCGUUGCUCGGAAUUACUGGGCGUAAAGGGCGUGCAGGCGGUUUGUUAAGUGCAGGGUGAAAGCUCCCGGCUCAACUGGGAGAGGUCCUUGCAUACUGGCGAACUCGAGGGAGGCAGAGGAAAGUGGAAUUCCCGGUGUAGUGGUGAUAUGCGUAGAUAUCGGGAGGAACACCUGUGGCGAAGGCGGCUUUCUGGGCCUUACCUGACGCUGAGACGCGAAAGCGUGGGGAGCGAACCGG